rnacentral:rRNA from 1 species
UACGUAGGUGGCAAGCGUUGUUCGGAAUUAUUGGGCGUAAAGGGCGCGUAGGCGGUUUGUUAAGUCGGCUGUGAAAGCCCGGGGCUCAACCCCGGAGGGUCAGCCGAUACUGGCAGACUAGAGUACGGAAGAGGUAGCUGGAAUUCCCGGUGUAGCGGUGAAAUGCGUAGAUAUCAGGAAGAACACCAGUGGCGAAGGCGGCCACCUGGCCCAUAACUGACGCUCAUGCACGAAAGCGUGGGGAUCAAACAGG